rnacentral:rRNA from 1 species
AUACGGAGGAUGCGAGCGUUAUCCGGAUUUAUUGGGUUUAAAGGGUGCGUAGGCUGUGCGUUAAGUCAGGGGUGAAAUGCCGUCGCUCAACGACGGAGCUGCCCUUGAUACUGGCGUGCUGGAGUACGGAUGCCGUUGGAGGAAUGAGUGGUGUAGCGGUGAAAUGCUUAGAUAUCACUCAGAACACCGAUUGCGAAGGCAGCUGACGAAGCCGUCACUGACGCUGAGGCACGAAAGCGUGGGGAUAGAACAGGAUUAGAUACCCUGGUAUUCCACGCCGUAAACGAUGAUGACUAACCGUCGGCGAUAGACAGCCGGUGGCCAAGCGAAAGCGAUAAGUCAUCCACCUGGGGAGUACGUCGGCAACGGUGAAACUUAAAGGAAUUGACGGGG